rnacentral:rRNA from 1 species
GAGUUUGAUCCUGGCUCAGGAUGAACGCUGGCGGCGUGCCUAAUACAUGCAAGUCGAACGAACAGAUAAGGAGCUUGCUCCUUUGACGUUAGCGGCGGACGGGUGAGUAACACGUGGGUAACCUACCUAUAAGACUGGAAUAACUCCGGGAAACCGGGGCUAAUGCCGGAUAACAUGUUGAACCGCAUGGUUCUACAGUGAAAGACGGUCUUGCUGUCACUUAUAGAUGGACCCGCGCCGUAUUAGCUAGUUGGUGGGGUAACGGCCUACCAAGGCGACGAUACGUAGCCGACCUGAGAGGGUGAUCGGCCACACUGGAACUGAGACACGGUCCAGACUCCUACGGGAGGCAGCAGUAGGGAAUCUUCCGCAAUGGGCGAAAGCCUGACGGAGCAACGCCGCGUGAGUGAUGAAGGUCUUCGGAUCGUAAAGCUCUGUUGUUAGGGAAGAACAAAUGUGUAAGUAACUGUGCAUAUCUUGACGGUACCUAACC